ensembl:snoRNA
GGAUCGAUGAUGAGAACAACUACCUGAGGAUGCUGAGUGACUCAUAACAAAUGGCAAUCUGAGGUCC